AAUAUUGGUAUAAUAGCCCACGCGCUCGCAUGGCAUAUAUAGAUGAAAGUAAAACGAAUUGUUGAGGAUUUACAGUAUAUAUCAACGGAGUAUUAUACAUAGUAUUCAAUCCUUCGAGGGGCUUACUAUAUAAAAUCAUUAAACUGCAUUCUUCAGAAAAGUGUUUCAGUCGUACUCGAAGUCAAAAUGGUAGCAACAUCACGCUGUUUCAUUUACCAGCUACGGAACACAAUGACUACAUCAUCCAUAUACAUAGUGCUCAUAUGUUUAUGUUUACCAGCGAUAUUUGGAAUGCCAUACUUAGACGCUUCGAAACAAUUUAGAAAAGAUAUAUCAGAACAGUUUCCUUGACGACACUGACACAUCAAACGAAAUCGAGGACUUUUUAGCAGAAUAUCAACGACCAACACAUCCGUUUCAAGAAUUAAGACAACUUUUAGAUGACGGAUUCGAUGUUGACAACACGGAUGAAGGUUACGAUGUCAACAAUUAUGAUAUUUUUGAUAAUCGUGAAGAUAAACUAGUCGGGGCAAGGGCGAAACGACUUGGCUUUUCCUAUUUUCCUUUCCGAUACACACGCCAGUAUCUUCUGAAACACCAGAAUCGUAUUUUACCUGACCUGUUAAGGGAAGCUGGUGAAUAUCCCCCAGUAAAAAGACGACUAGCUUUUACUGCGUUGAGAGGCCGAUAGUUGCCUGGACGAUUUCAUCGCCCAACACUCACCACAGGAGAGAGAGAAAGGGAAAAGAAAACAUUUUUAAGACUCAGAAUUUUAUCAAAAUUUAAUGUUCAAAGAUAUUUUUGAUAUAAUGUAUCUGAAAAAAACGUUCACAAAAUUAAGAAACUAAAUGCAGACUUUUAAUGUUAGUGCUUUCGUUUUAAAUGUUGAAACUAUACAAAAGUUAAUUUUAAUGACGAAAUUCAGGCUUCAUUCACAAGUUCAGUUUGGCUUUUAAAUGUAAAUAUAGCUUUCGUCAAUGCUACUUUAUUAUUUCUCUUUACCGCGUGACGUUUAUUUUAGUAAAUAAGUCUCUUUUCUGAUACAUGAUAAAAGAAUGAAUCAAAGUAUUUUUGAUCUAUACGCCUUAUUUGUAAAUUAAAAAAAUGUAUUUUCGAUAUUGUUUCAUAUGAAAUAUAGAGCCUGAAAUGUUCAAGGAUAGAUGAACAAUGCUUACUUAUUGGUAUAGCAUCUCCUUGCGUAAGCAUAUUAUGUUACUUCUAUUGAUCCUCUCUUUAUUUCUAUCGUUGCUUUUGUUCAAAAAUAAAGUUUAAAUAAAUAAUUGUUAAUCGUCUUUAACGCACCUGAAACCUUUUGUAAGGAAAAGUGGCAAUAUAAUGUUGUAGAGUGUUAAAGGCACUAUCUUCCAGAUUGUACGAAAACAAAACGAAAGAAAAAUUUUAAGUAUCAUGAAAUAAAUUUAAUUAUUGACAGACUAGAUGUUAGUUUAAACAUAUUUUUAUUUGUAUUCGAUCAAGUAACACAGUUGCAAUAUACAUUUGUGCAAUAUACAUUGAUGAAAUGUUUGAUCAGAAAACAUGCUUAUAUUAAUUCCUUUUCAUAGACUAUAUGUUAUGGAAACAUAUGAGAAAUAGUUGUUUUUACUUAUUUUUAUGAUGAGAAUUGAAAAGUAUUUGAAACGCAUUACUCAACUUUAAUUAUAAAUUUCUAUAUUUAACAGGUCGUUAAAUACGUAAUCCUCCGUGGUGUAUUGGUCAAAACCGCGGGAAAGUUUUUAUUGCCGGGGUCAUCCGUGUUCAAUUGCCUACCCUGAAUUUUUUUCUUGAUUAGGCUUCUUUUAAAGAUAGUUUGGAACUAAAAACCAAUGUUGAUGCCCCGUAAAUGUUCCAAUGUUCAUAAUAUUUCUUCAUAAUAAACUUCAAUUUUAAAGUUUAAAGAAAGGUCAUUUUAGACAAACUCUGGAGGUCAGUGCCUAAAACAGAUACAUAUAGUGUAACUUGCAAUGUUAUAUUUGAUUUAAAUACAGAAAAUUAUGAGACAACUGAGUAAUAAAUCUGAAUUUGUUCUA
rnacentral:lncRNA from 1 species